rnacentral:rRNA from 1 species
GACGAACCGUGCGAACGUUGUUCGGAAUCACUGGGCUUAAAGGGCGCGUAGGCGGCUUGUCAAGUCAGGGGUGAAAUCUUUCGGCUUAACCGGAGAAGUGCCUUUGAUACUGACAGGCUCGAGGGAGGUAGGGGUAUGUGGAACUUCCGGUGGAGCGGUGAAAUGCGUUGAUAUCGGAAGGAACGCCGGUGGCGAAAGCGACGUACUGGACCUCUUCUGACGCUGAGGAGCGAAAGCAUGGGGAGCGAACAGG